CCUACGGGAGGCAGCAGUGAGGAAUUUUCCGCAAUGGGCGAAAGCCUGACGGAGCAAUACCGCGUGAGGGAUGAAGGAUUUUGGUCUGUAAACCUCUUUUCUCAAGAAAGAAGUUCUGACGGUACUUGAGGAAUAAGCAUCGGCUAACUCCGUGCCAGCAGCCGCGGUAAUACGGGGGAUGCAAGCGUUAUCCGGAAUGAUUGGGCGUAAAGCGCCUGUAGGUUGUUUAUUAAGUCCGUUGUUAAAGCCUAGGGCUCAACCCUAGAAAAGCAAUGGAAACUAGUAGACUAGAGUAUGGCAGGGGUAGAGGGAAUUUCUAGUGUAGCGGUGAAAUGCGUAGAUAUUAGAAAGAACACCGGUGGCGAAAGCGCUCUACUGGACCAUUACUGACACUCAGAGGCGAAAGCUAGGGUAGCAAAAGGGAUUAGAUACCCCUGUAGUCCUAGCCGUAAACGAUGGAUACUAGAUGUUGUGCAUAUGUACAGUAUACGUAGUACUACGUACGUUAAGUACUCCGUCCGUCGGGUAGGUACGUCUCGCGAGGUAGGAACGUACAAGAAGUAGUAGACGCGNGAGACGCGACGACGACGACGACGGAGGAGAG
rnacentral:rRNA from 1 species